UAAGGAAUAUUGGUCAAUGGACGCAAGUCUGAACCAGCCAUGCCGCGUGCAGGAAGACGGCCCUACGGGUUGUAAACUGCUUUUGUACCGGAAUAAACUUUGAUACGUGUAUCAAGCUGAAUGUACGGUAAGAAUAAGGAUCGGCUAACUCCGUGCCAGCAGCCGCGGUAAUACGGAGGAUCCAAGCGUUAUCCGGAUUUAUUGGGUUUAAAGGGUGCGUAGGUGGCCUAUUAAGUCAGGGGUGAAAGACGGUAGCUCAACUAUCGCAGUGCCUUUGAUACUGAUGGGCUUGAAUACAGUUGAAGUGGGCGGAAUGUGACAAGUAGCGGUGAAAUGCAUAGAUAUGUCACAGAACACCGAUUGCGAAGGCAGCUCACUAAAGUGUGAUUGACACUGAGGCACGAAAGCGUGGGGAUCAAACAG
rnacentral:rRNA from 1 species